CGGAUUUCGGAAAGGCUGCACCUGUGACGGAAAUGCAGGGGGCCGGCUGUUUGCAGCCACAGCCUCCCACAGGUGAUCCUGUAAAGAGAUAUGGCCUCACAUAAUCAUGGGAGCUGGUUAAGCAGUCUCUGUAAGGCUGCUGUCUUCAUAUCUGAUGCUGACGCCUAAAGUCCACAGGACAGGCAGUUCCAAAGGAAAGAAAGAUAUAAAAUCAGGGAGAUUGAGAACGACCUGGAACCCAUCAGUAUGGGCUGGAACCCCACAAGGAUGGACUAAAAUCCACCCCAUCCUUGCUGCUUCUGACACAGGUGAAGUGGACAUCCUUCCGAAGUCGGGACCCUUUGGUGUGGGGCUACACACAGACACCUGGCCCAGAAGCAGAGGCAGAGGAGCUGAAGUCGGAUCCAGGGAAAGCAGAGCAAUUACAGGUCCAGUAACCACUUCGUGCCAAUGAGGUGUGUCCGAGGAUGAGCAACAUGGGUGAGCUCCAUCGCGUCUCCUGCUUCCCUUCUGCCCUCCAGACUUCCCAAGGAUCUCUCUCAUGCCCCAUGGUGGAGAUAAUGGAGCAGUUCUGUCUUUCUUUCUGGGGACGCCUCAAUGUCUGAUUUUUGACUUACAACGAAGGAACAUCAUGACCUGACCCACGUGUGGACUGCUGCAAGAACAAAGGAUUCUGACACCAAGUAAUUUGUAAUGACGACAACCUCCCCACCCAGUUUUAGUAUAAAAGGAGUCUGAAUUCUGACUUGGGGAAGAUGGUUCUCCAGGACACUAGUCUCCCCUCUUCUUGGUCUGCCGACUUUCUGAAUAAAGUCUCUAUUCCU